rnacentral:lncRNA from 1 species
UAAAAACCCUAAAUACAAUCCCCUAAUUCUCCAAAAUGUGUAAUCAUACAUUCAGAUGUAGAAACUAUUGCUCUCGAGUUUCAGCAGCGAUUCACAAUUAAACAAAAAUAACAGCCAUCAUCACUAACUUCUUUUUGUAUCCUGAAUUUUUUCGUCAGAUUUGCCCAUAUAUAUAGGCGCCAGAAGAUUUUAUUUUUUGCUUGUGCAAAGGCUAAAUACGUACACCUAAACCAAAUGAAUCAGGCCUAUAUGGUUCUCUGUCCACCAUGGUCAAAGUUUCACCCCUACUUAGUUCAGGUAAUACCAAUUCCAUUCACCUGGGUACCCCUACUCUGUCCUUUUCUGCAUGAAGAUUGAAGUUUCUAAGAUGUGACAAGUGACGCUCGAGGAGUUUAUAAAAAGAAUUGGAACAGGAGGAAUAAUGCUGCAUUGAGGAUGAGGAAGUUUUUUCACUGCUAAGUUAAUUGAAUUAAUUAGUUGAAAAGCUGUUGUUCGGAUUGAGUACCGAUUUUUAAGUAAGUUUUCCUUUUAAAAUUCAUCUGUUUUGAUCUAAUUAUGGUUACUGCUGUAGAUAUACUGUAUUUUUUUCUUGGUUUUGGCUGCGAGCUUUUGCUUAUUGAUGAAAUCUUAUCAAUUAAUCAAGCACUGGUAAAUAUUUCAUGUUUUAGCCAAGAAGCGGAUUGUUUUUUUCUGAUCAUAUGCGUUGUUGGCAUGUCGUAUCUAAUGUCUUGUAAGUAUUUAUUCUCUUUAUAUUAGUGGAUUAUGUUCUAUUUGGUUAAUCUGAGUUUAUGUUGAAAUGUUAAAUGUUAAUUAUGUGUAUGUGUAUGUAUUUGGAAGUUUGUGAAAUGAGGAAUGAUCUGAUAAGCUAGAACUGUUGCUAACUUGAAUUCAUUAAAUUAUUAUCUGCAUAAUUUGUAAUAUUUAUGCCGAUACGUUUUUAUGAGAUUAUAAAUUUCUGUGCAUACGUUCUUAUAUUUAUCUCUUAAUUUAUUGAUUAAAAUCCCCUAAAUCACUACUAUAAAUCUAAACAAUUCUUAGAUUUAUAUAAACUGUUUUGAUAUUUUCCUUUGUAAUUUAUUAUCCUUUGUAAUUUAAUUAUGAUAUUAUCCUUUGUAAUUUAAUUGUUAUCUCUUAAUUUAUUGAUUAUAAUCCCCUAAAUCACUACUAUAAAUCUAAACAGUUUUUUUGAUUUAUAUCAACUGUUUUGAUAUUAUCCUUUGUAAUUUAAUUGUUAUCUCUUAAUUUAUUGAUUAUAAUCCCCUAAAUCACUACUAUAAAUCUAAACAGUUUUUUUGAUUUAUAUCAACUGUUUUGAUAUUAUCCUUUGUAAUUUAAUUGUUAUCUCAUAACUUAUUGAUUAUAAUCCCCUAAAUCACUACUAUAAAUCUAAACAGUUUUUAUAUUUAUAUCAACUAUUUUGAUAUUAUCCUUUGUAAUUUACAUGACGACUAGGUACGAUUUUGUUGAUGACAUCAGCCUUGUCAAAGAGACGUGGAAGAUUAAAGUCAGGAUAACUCGACUCUGGAAUAUGCCAAGCUUCAACAAAGCAGACUACAUAAACAGCAUCGAGAUGGUAUUGUUGGAUGAAAGGUAUAUAUAUAUACACACACAUACACAAACACAUAUAUACGCAACUCCUAAUUACAACAUCUUACCCUAUGCAUAUUAUACUUUUAUAGAAAACCAAAAUACAAGCGAGUAUCAAAAGGUCUCUUUUUACAAAAUUUCAAACAUCAGUCAAGGAACAACAAGUCUUUAUAAUCACCAAUUGAAAAGUAUCUUAAUUCUGGUAAUUAUAUGCACCCUUCUUUC